GACAACCCUAGAGAUAGGGCUUCCCCUUCGGGGGCAGAGUGACAGGUGGUGCAUGGUUGUCGUCAGCUCGUGUCGUGAGAUGUUGGGUUAAGUCCCGCAACGAGCGCAACCCUUGAUCUUAGUUGCCAGCAUUCAGUUGGGCACUUUAAGGUGACUGCCGGUGACAAACCGGAGGAAGGUGGGGAUGACGUCAAAUCAUCAUGCCCCUUAUGACCUGGGCUACACACGUGCUACAAUGGGCAGAACAAAGGGCAGCGAAGCCGCGAGGCUAAGCCAAUCCCACAAAUCUGUUCUCAGUUCGGAUCGCAGUCUGCAACUCGCCUGCGUGAAGCUGGAAUCGCUAGUAAUCGCGGAUCAGCAUGCCGCGGUGAAUACGUUCCCGGGCCUUGUACACAC
rnacentral:rRNA from 1 species